GACGAACGCUGGCGGCGUGCCUAAUACAUGCAAGUCGAGCGAAUCAAUAGGAGCUUGCUCCUGUUGAUUAGCGGCGGACGGGUGAGUACAACGUGGGCAACCUGCCUGUAAGACUGGGAUAACUUCGGGAAACCGGAGCUAAUACCGGAUAAUCCUUUUCCCCUCAUGAGGCAAAGCUGAAAGUCGGUUUCGGCUGACACUUACAGAUGGGCCCGCGGCGCAUUAGCUAGUUGGUGAGGUAACGGCUCACCAAGGCGACGAUGCGUAGCCGACCUGGGAGGGGGAUCGGCCACACUGGGACUGAGACACGGCCCGGACGCCUACGGGAGGCAGCAGUAGGGAAUGUUCCGCAAUGGACGAAAGUCUGACGGAGCAACGCCGCGUGAGCGAUGAAGGCCUUCGGGUCGUAAAGCUCUGUUGUUAGGGAAGAACAAGUAUCGGAGUAACUGCCGGUACCUUGACGGUACCUAACCAGAAAGCCACGGCUAACUACGUGCCAGCCGCCGCAGUAACAC
rnacentral:rRNA from 1 species